CCUACGGGAGACAGCAGUGAGGAAUAUUGGUCAAUGGACGAGAGUCUGAACCAGCCAAGUAGCGUGAAGGAUGACUGCCCUAUGGGUUGUAAACUUCUUUUAUAUGGGAAUAAAAUGUUCCACGUGUGGGUUUUUGUAUGUACCAUAUGAAUAAGGAUCGGCUAACUCCGUGCCAGCAGCCGCGGUAAUACGGAGGAUCCGAGCGUUAUCCGGAUUUAUUGGGUUUAAAGGGAGCGUAGGUGGAUUGUUAAGUCAGUUGUGAAAGUUUGCGGCUCAACCGUAAAAUUGCAGUUGAAACUGGCAGUCUUGAGUACAGUAGAGGUGGGCGGAAUUCGUGGUGUAGCGGUGAAAUGCUUAGAUAUCACGAAGAACUCCGAUUGCGAAGGCAGCUCACUGGACUGCAACUGACACUGAGGCUCGAAAGUGUGGGUAUCAAACAGGAUUAGAUACCCCAGUAGUC
rnacentral:rRNA from 1 species